GACAGCCACGGCUACACAGAGAAACCUGCCUCAAAAAAACAAAAAACAAACAAAACAAAAAUCUCACAGUUGGCCUUCUACCUCUUCAAAGUAGGUGCAGCUGAGACUGGCAGAAUGGGCAUGAGCAAUCUGGACCAGGGACUCUAGGGACCAGGAGACCUUGGAAACCAGGAGACAGCUUGCCAGAAUGCCCACUAAUCUUAACAUGGUUACUUGUGACAAGAAAGGAUUUAGCUGUACAGUGGGAAUCCUCAGUUCUAGAAUGAGAGAGAGAGAGAGAGAGAGAGAGAGAGAGAGAGAGAGAGGAGUAGAGUAUGUAUGCAGCAUGAACAGCACUCUGGGAUUGCAGUAGGACAGCCUGGUUUAUGUAGCGCUGGGGAUCAAGCUCAGCCUCAUAUAUAUGCUGGUAUACAUUCACAAAACCCAUCCCUAGUCUCAGACCUCCUGUGAGAAGAGAUGGUGGUGGAGUAGUAAUACAGUCAUUCUUAUAUGUGUAUUUGAGAUUUCAGGAACUAACUGUUCAGUUAUGCGCUAUAGACGGUGACAGCAUGAAAUGCUUCUUACUGGUGUUGUGUUGGUAAGAAAUGACAUUACUUGAUGUUCUUCCAGAGGACCUGAGUUUAAUUCCCACCACACACAUUGGUAGCUCACAACUCUCAAUAACUAGCUUUUAACCUGAUGCCACCACAUAUACACACACACAGAUGUUAAAAAAUUGCAUCCUUUUUUUGUUUUGUUUGUUUGUUUGUUUGUUUUUUUGUUGAUGGUGCUUUGUUUUUAGAACAGGGUCUCAUGUUGCCCAGCUAGCCUUGAAUUGCUGGGUACAAGAACAGCCUUUAAGUGAUCCUCCUGCCUCUACCUCCCAAAUGUUGGGAUUACAGAUGUGUCACUCUUUGCCAGGUCUGAUCAGUUUCUCAUUAUUUGCUUCUCUCUCUCUCUCUCUCUCUCUCUCUCUCUCUCUCUCUCUCUCUCUCUCUCUCUCCCUCCCUCCCUCCCUCCCCCCCCCCAUCCUAUUAAACAAGUAAGGAAAAGACCAUGGUGAAAUUUUUUUUCAUUUACCUUUCUUUAUACAAAGGUUUGUCAGUCUGGAGAGAUAGAGGUUAAGAGCACUGACUGCUCUUCCAGAGGUCCUGAGUUCAAUUCCCAGCAACCACAUGAUGGCUCAUAACCAUCUAUAAUGAGAUCUGGUGCCCUCUUCUGGUGUGCAGGGCUGUGUAGAGAGAUCCUGUUUCAAAACAUAGAAACAAAAAAAUAGAAUAGAACUUAGCUGAUGAUAACAUUGAACCUUAAGAAGUACAUCAGUGUGGUUGUCAUUUGAUAGAAGGGAUGCUUUCAAAGGUUAAGUGGCUAACUCAAGUCCCUGGCCUCCUAUGUGGGGAUGCUUACAAAUUUGGUCUCUGUCCUUCAGAAAUUCAUGCCUUACCAUGUACUGUGCAUUGUGCUGUCUGUUUGUGGUUCUCAGUUGUAAACCUCACUUGGAGUUGCUGUGUUCUGUUUUGCGCAUACAUAGAACUCAUGCAUGUAUGUAAAGUUUAAGAGCCACUCAAGGGUUUUCAUCAGAGUGGCCAUAUCCCUCUGGUGUUCUCUAAUGUAUGUUUAGUUUCACAGUGGUUUUCUGUCUUUAGACAGGUAUCAUCUUGGCUGGCUUGGAGCUCACUAUAUAGCCUGGCUUUGAACUCACAGUUCUAUCUGUAUCUCCUGAAUGCUGCAGUUAACUAUGUAAGCCUGCCUUGCCUGGAACUUGCUAUGGAGAGAAGACCACAUUUCUUCCCGCCUCUGUCUCCCUAGUGGUGGGUUACAGGCAGGCUUACAUAGUUAACAUAGUUAUUAGUACAUGCAGCUAGAACUGUGUUGACCUGGCCCAAGAGAUUUCAAAGGAGAAGAAUUUCAGAAUGUGGCAUAAAGACUGUUUUUGUGGUAUUUUGGUGAAGAAUGUGGCUACUUUUUGCCUUUGUCUGAAAAGUCUGCCUGAGACUAAGGUGAAAAGACUCAGAUUAAUUGCACUGACAAAGGAAGUUUCAAAAAGGCCCAGCAGAGACUUUGUUCUCUGAUUAAGUCUUAUGAAGAGAAGUUUGAACAAGCAUAGCAAGCUUAGAAAGGAAAAAAUAUAAAAUAUAUGGUUCAAGUAUUAAAGGAGUACCAGGAAGUGAAAUGGAGCAAAAUCCUAUGUUCUAGGAGAUAACAAAUUAAGGGAGUGGGACCUUGGGGCAAGAUCCUACCCAGCUAAAUUUAGAUUCAGGCAUGGUGGUACACACCUUUAAUCUCCGGAGACUGGCAUGCUGAUCUCUGCGUUCAAGGUCAAUCUCCAGAGCAAGACCCAGGAUAGCCAAGCUUAGGCAGUGAAGGAUUUGGAAAACAGAAAGCCAGUGACAAUGUAAUAGUACCAAGGGGUCAUGUUCUAGUCAGCCAUGUGGCUCUGGCUCUUUCCAUUAAGAAUGGAAAGAACUUGCCGGGUGUGGUGGCACACACCUUUAACCCAGCGCUUGGGAGGCAGAAGCAGGUGGAUUUCUGAGUUCGAGGCCAUCCUGGUCUACAGAGUUCCAGGACAGCCAGGGCGGCAGAGGCAGACAGAUUUCUGAGUUCGAGGCCAGCCUGGUCUACAAAGUGAGUUCCAGGACAGCCAGGGCUAUACAGAGAAACCCUAUCUCGAAAAACAAAACAAAACAACAACAAAAAAAGGAUAAUAUUUUCUUACAAUUUUGGUAUUUUUUUUUAUUACAAAUGUAUUUUUAGAAAAGAAAUAGUAACUUGGGAAGUUUUUCUUUAACUCUAUCAGGUAUAAUGUCCUAGCUGUCUAGGUGCUAGCCAGUGUGUCUUUGCAAAUACAUGAAACCCAGCCAGGAUCUAGUUCAGCAGUUCUCAACCUGUGGGCCAUGGCCCCUUUUGGGGGUUGUAUAUCAUGCAUAUGAGAUAUUUACAUUAUGAUUAAUAACAGUAGCAAAAUUUCAGUUAUGAGGUAACAACAAAAUAGUGUUCUGGUUGGGGAUCACCAUGACAUGUGGAACUUGGACAUGUGUACUAAAGGACUGCCGCACUGGGGAGGUGAGGGCCACUGGGCCAGGGCAGGCAGCUUAGGAUGCAGCCAUGCUGGAGUAAACACUUGUGUGACUUCAUCUCCUGAGAGUUCUGAGAACACCUCAAAGUUACAGGUUUAUUUUUAAAAUUAAAGUGAGUUUAACACUGCAUUUGUUUUAGGGCUUGGUGAUAUUCCCCGAAAUAGAAAAAUAAAUUAAAUAAAUUUAAAAAUUAUAGUUUCAGUUCCUUUAUAACUGAGGAAAAGAAUAUAGAGAAUAAGAUAAUGAGUUGACACUUUAUUUUAGGUUUUACACAAUGAGCAAUUUUGCUCCCCUACUUGAAGUAGGUCUGGCACUCCCCAGUUCAUGUCAGUGCCUCAGCCUGGGCUGCUAUCAGUAGUACAGAAUGCAUUAAUAAAAACAGGUUGAGGACCCCCUCCCCACUAGAGUCAUGUCAGAAGCUCACCCAUCUGCACCAAAACAAAACUGAGAAGCUAGGGUUAAGAGCCAAGGCAUACGCCAGAAAAGAUACCUCAGUAGGAAGUGAGCUUGCCGCAAAGACCUCUUUCCUAAGUUCAGUUCCUAGAAAUCAAGUGUUGGAAUGAUAGAGCCAGCUCCUGCAAGUUAGUGGCUUACUCAGGUGCACAGGUACAUACAUGCAAAGUAAGUAAAUGAAAUGUUUUUAGUCUGGGAGUAGUGGCACCUGCCCAUCAAGUAUUCUAAGUUAUUUUAAAACAUUUAAUUUUAGAGAUUUCUAUUUUGUUUUAUCUCUUAAAGUUUGUUUUAUCCUUUACUGGAUUUUUCUUUCAAAGUGUAAUACGGAGCCUAGGAUCCUAUGCAAGCUGAUCAUGUGCUUGUACCUCUGAGUUACACCCCAGGGCAUGUGUGAUAGCCUCUCAGGAGGCAGAGGCUGGAGGACAGGAAGGGGCUAGUCCAGCCUGACUAAGUAAAGAGCUUGCCUCAGACAAAAGACAAAGGAAAGCCUCAAGCUACAAGAUGUCGCUGCACCAGUCUAUAGGUUAUUGUUUGGAGAACUUUUGUGAAUUGCUGACAUUAAAUUUUGGCAUGUUUUUCUAGUUAAUCUAUAUGAAUAAACAUUGAAAUAAAAACAUAAUUUUCGCCGGCACAUGCCUUUAAUCCCAGCACUCGGGAGGCAGAAGCGGGUGGAUUUCUGAGUUCGAGGCCAGCCUGGUCUACAAAGUGACAGCCAGGCCUACACAGAGAAACCCUGUCUCAAAAAACAAGAAACAAAACAACAACAAACAAACAUUAUUUCAAAACAGUAGCCCAGUGUGUAAAGGCAUUAGGAAAACUGGAGAGAGCUAACAGCUAUUCCGAGGUUUUAGCUGUUUCUAAUAACCCUUGAGCUGCUGAGUCUGCGGUCUAGUUGUAAAGCAGGUAAGGUUUAGGAGAAGAUAGCUUUUAAGAAGGAUGGUCUAUCUUCUCUUUUCCUCCAAGAUCCUCUCUCCUUUCCCAUUCCUUUUUUCUUCCUCCUUCCCCCUGUGAAAUCUUCCUUCUCUUCCCCUUCUUCCUACACAAGUGGCUGGGGUUUUUGUUUGUUUGUUUGUUUUUGUUUUUGUUUUAAAGUAGGGCUUUUGGAAUAAGACACAUUGAUGCAAGUUGGAAAGACAAGUUGUAACAAGGAGGCUUGGGAAUAGAUUCUUACAUUUUGGCUUUGUAAGUAAAGUGGGGGUAUCUACAACUAAUAAUCAGUAAAUAAAUUGCAUGUGUACCGCUGGAUUUUAGUCAAUUAAGCAGUCAGUGCUAUAGAGACUUGUUCUCAUUUCCCUUACUGUUCACAAACUUUCACUAAGAUGCAUCCACACAUAGACUUCUGUGUUAGAAAUAUAGAGCAGGAAAGAUUAGGGCCUGGCCAUGUUGGAGCCUCAGUCUAGUGAAGGAAUGGAGAUUAUGUGGAAAAAUAAAUAAAUAAAUAAAACACCCCUAACUGUUCUGUAUAAACUUACAUAAUGUUUUGAUGAAAAACUAAUUCUUUUUACAAAAGAUGCCAGAUUUUUCAGAAGUUCUAAGAAUGAAAGGGGGCCUAGAUCUAGUUUUAUUGCUCAUUUUACAAAUGAGAACACUUGAAUCUACAGAAUUGUGAGGGCUUCUUCUGGGCACACAGCAGAUAGUGUGAUUGGAGUAGGACAUGUUUCUUUCUCUACUGGCCCUUAACUCUGUCCCUAGGGACAGGUGACAGGAGCAUGCCAUAAGCUGUUUCUGCCAAGUUCUUUCACUGGUCUGCUUUCCCUUCUAUCUGUUAAAUGAUAGGUUAUUAAGUAUUUCCAUCCAGUAUAAAAGAAUUUCAGUCACUCAUUUAGCAUAUUGAUUAAGAUGACAAGUUCCUUCAGGAGAGAUGAUGCUUAUGUUCUUGUAGAGGCCCUGAGUUCAGUUCCCAGCACCCAUCUCAGGAAGCUCAACAACCUCCGGUAACAUUUGCAUGUGUGUCCACACAGAUCUCAGUGUAGACUUGAAAUAACUGGUCUGUGAAAGUUAGGUUGAAAAACAGUUCUCAUUUUUAUCUCAAAAAACAAUCUCUGAAAUAACAGAAGUUACCCUUGAAAAUCUUGUCAGAAAUGAUCUUUCAUAAAUACUGGAUUUCACUUCAAUCUCUUUGUUAUCCAUAGAGGAUCCGAUGCCUUCCUCUGACCUCCACAGGCACUGGGCGUGAAGGUUGCAUGCAGACAGAACACCAGCAGACGAUGGAUGGGUAGGCAGAUGAGUGGAUAGAUGGAUGGAUGAGCAGAUGGGUAGACAGAUAGAUGGAUGAAUAAAUUCACAUUGUAUAUACAGGUACUAGGCAUGUAAGUGGUACACAAUGUACAUAGUGCACACACACACACACACACACAUUGUAUCAGUUAAAAUUUGUGGAAGAGUAGACUGCUUUACUUUGCUUUGUUUUUGGACAUGGUCUCAUGCAGCCAGGGCUGGCCUCAGAUUUGCUCAGUGGCAGGAUAUCUGGUCUUCUUGCCUCUUCCUUCUCUUGUUUAUUUUUAUAUAUUUAGUACAUUUUAGGGUCAGGGUCUUCAUCUAGCCCAGACUGGCCUGGAACUCAGAGCAGUCUGCCUGCCUCUGUCUUUUGAGUGGCAUUAAAGGCCCCGAUUUUAUUCUUAUCAACUAAAUAGUUGAUUCAAAGCUGCAGCCACUAGGGCUCACUUGCCCUUCCUUCUCUCUACUUUCCUCUACAAAGAAGCUUUCCCAGUGCUGAGCUGGCAUGCCGGCCUGUGCAUGCAUGUAUAAAGAGUGCUUUCUAUGAAAUGUCCACAUCCGGCCUUGAGCUCACAGUCACACCACUUCCCUUUGACCAAUCCUCUAAAGCAGGACUCUAAACAUUCUCACUUAUCCAAUCCCUUUCUCUAUUUUUAAAAAUAGAACCAUGGGGUACAUAUAUAGGUGUUCAAAUAGGUAUAAAAUUAAAUGUGGAUUGAGAAUAAAUGGUAAAUUUAAAGCGUUUUCUGACAUUUUAUCUUAUUUUAUUAAUUUUAUUUAUUUUUUUAUGAAACUCAGGUUAGCAACUCAACAGCUUUUAAAAUCAAACAUUGCAAAAAAGACAACACAGAAAGUUGGCAUAGGGAAGAUCUUGAGUGAAUCUUGGAAUGGGGUGAAGAUACACUAUGAAAUUCUUGGAGAAUUAAUAAAUAUUAAAACUCAAAAAUUAUAGAUACCACAGUAUAAUUCAGAGAUGUACUAAUUUGAUAAUAUGCCAAGGAAUGGUGGGAAAAUACUGAAAGCUUUUUUUCCUAAUUAAAAGUAUUGUUUCGGGGCUGUCGAGAUGGCUCAGUGGUUAAGAGCGCCAACUGCUCUUCUGAAGGUCCUGAGUUCAAAUCCCAGCAACCAUAUGGUGGCUCACAACCAUCUGUAAUGGGAUCUGACGCCCUCUUCUGGUGUGUCUGAAGACAGCAACACUGUAUACAAUAAAUAAAUUAAUUAAAAAAAAAAGGAUUGUUUCAAGCUGGGUGUAGUGGCACACGCCUUUAAUCCCAGCACUAGGGAGGAAGAGGCAGGCGGAUUUCUGGGUUCCAGGAUAGCCAGGGCUAUACAGAGAAACCCUGUCUCGAAAAACAAAAACAAAAAAGUAUUGUUUCUCUUACAGCACAGAACUUUUUGUGUAUAAGAAACUAGCUCAUGGCUGGAGAGAUGGCUCAGCGGUUAAGAGCACUGACGGCUCUUCCGAAGGUCCUGAGUUCAAUUCCCAGCAACCACAUGGUGGCUCACAACCAUCUGUAACGAGAUCUGGCGCCCUCUUCUGGAGUGUCUGAAGGCAGCUACAGUGUACUUACAUAACAUCAAUCAAUCAAUCAAUCAAUCAAUCAGUGUACUUACAUAAAAUCAAUCAAUCAAUCAAAAAAAGAAAAGAAAAGAAACUAGCUCAUACCAUGCAGUCGUCUCAGUUCCAGCUAAGGUGUGUGAGACAGUUUUACUUGGCAUGUGUGCCUGUCUGCAUGCACAGUGCAAAGCGCACACAUCAUGUGCUCUGCUCCAGGCAAGGCUUCAGUGAAAUUACCUUGGAUACAUUAUAUGUUUGGAUUUGAGUUAGGUCCCAGUCAUUGUGUGUUUACUAUAACCUCACGUUCAGUUACGCAUCGUGAAGCAUAACCUUGCAUUUGCAUUUCUGGUUACUAGAGCCUCUUACUGUUUCUCCAUGAGCAGGCUCCAGUGUCUCACCACUUUUUUGAGUGUUUGAAUCAUACCAUAGGUGUUAAAUGAUUACCAGGCUCCUCACUCCAAACACUAGCCUAGUUGAAGCUUUUACCUAUAGCAAUAGGAGGUCGUUUAUAGAGAAGGUUUGGGAUAGAGAGAGCUGGGUUUGGCCUUUACCAGUUAAUAGUAGCUAAGUGGCUGUGGGUAGGUUAAGGUUACUUACCUUAGCUAAGUGGCUGUGGGUAGGUUAAGGUUACCUUAAGGCUCCCUCUGAUUCUUGGAUGCAAAAGGGGGUAAAAUUCUUUCCAGAGUGGUAUUUUAAAGAACCUGCUGUGACUUUGCUUUAUCUAAAAAUCUUCCUGGCUCUUUAAAGGCCUUGCAUGAUUUGGCCUAAUUUGUCUACCCAGCAGUCAAACUUCUAUUUUGUCUAGCACAGAACUCACCAGAUCCUAAAGUCUAAGUGGGUAAUUUGUAAACCGCAAGCUUGUUGUACUACAGUAAACACAUGAGAAUGUACUUUAUACUUGCUACUCCGGGCCUUGCAGUCUUGUGUGGAAAGGCCACUGAACUCGCCUGCAGAACCAUGUCUGUGGAUGCCGUUUUGCCUUAGAGUGAAGGCUGGUUUUAGCUGGUGUCAUUGUGAUGGAGCCCAGAGACAGAAGCAGCUUGUGCUCAGAGCGGCAGAUCUGGCUGGCUGGAGAUGAACAUUCUGUCCCCUGUUCAGGUUUCUGGGGACUGGGGACUAGUGCUGCAGCUGCUGCUGCUCCAGGACUGGCAGCCACCCCUCCUGACAGAUGUCUUGCCAAGAGAGUCUGAGUGCUCUAAUUUUAUCACUUUAGCAGUGUCUUGCCUGGUAGUCCUCACUCGAGUGGUCAUUGUCAGCAUGAACACCCACUAACAGAAUUUCAAAGUGGCAACUGUGGAUGGUGCAUUUAGUUAACUGUACUAGGAGAGGUAUGUAGGAGAGAAACUGCAGUUUAGUGGCCAUCCAACAAGUAUGUCUUACCUCAGUCUCCUGCUCAUGUCUUAGACUUGUGAGCCCUGGCUCUUUAAAGAACAGCCCAACCAAGGGGCCAAAUAAACUCUUUUGAAGUAAUUCUGUUCCUUAAAAUUAAUUUUCUCUUUAUAAGCCACAAGCUAAUCUGCAUGAAUCUGUAGGGUGUGUGUAAGGGCAUGGUGUCCAUGUCAGGUGGCUCCUGCAGUCACUCUCCACCCUUACUGACUGAGAUGGGCUGAGCCCAAAUCGUGUGAUGUUGGUUAAUAGGCCAACAUGCCCUGGAAAGUCGCCUGUCUCAGCCCACCAUGCUGGGACUACUUGUGUACACUGUCAGUCUGGCUUCAUGAAUGCUGGCCAUCUGAAUCCCAGGCUGCACACGGGAAGCACUUCAUUUUCUGAGCUGUCUUCCUGGCAUGUUGUUUGUUACCUGUGAGAAGUGUUUUGUUUUGUUUUGUUUGAGAACGGCUUCUCUGUCUCUCAGUUUAUAACUCAGGCUGUCUUUCAACUUGCAGAACUUUGCCUGCUAUUGCAGGAAUGCAGCACCACAUCCAGUUUAAAGGAUUUUCUUAUCAGUUUCUGAUAUCCACACCUCCCUCUGUUUAUCCUUUAUGGAACAUUUUUCCUGUUGUUUGUUUGUUUCUUGAACCUUCUUUUUGCAUUUUAAUGUUUUAGAUCUCAGCUGACUUUCCCUGGAGGUUUUGAAAUCUGUGCUUUUACUUUUAAUUUCCAGAAGGAAAAAAAUAUUUUUGUCUUGAAAUUUCCUUUUCUCUACAAUUUUGGUUUCCUGUUGCUGGCUGCCCUCUAGUUUUGGUCAUUGAAUUAUAUUUUAUAGAGGCACUGUACUCCUUGGUUGUCUAAUGCAGAUGUAAUACCUGUAUUGAGAGCUGGGCGUCCAUCUGGGAGCUGAGUAGAGGAAGAAAACUGAGGGUCUUAUUGUCCACAGCACCUCUCUCCUCAUCCAUAUUAAUGACCUUGGUAUUGAGUCUUUCCUAUUGUUUUUUCCCCCAUCUCUAGAAGAUACAACCAGUUAAGUGAAAUUUCUGUUGCUACUUAACAGCUUACUGCAAAUGUAGCAAUUCACAACAAUGUGCACAUUUAGUAACUUGGGCCGGUUUGGCUCAGUCUCCUGCUCAGGGUCUCUUAAGCCUGCAGUCCAAAACUGGCUGUCAUGUGUCCUCUUUAAAAUCCCUUCCAGGCUUAAACAGUCUCUGGCCCAAUCUGGUUCCUUGCAACUCUAAGACUGAGGCUCCGUGCUUAUAGUAGCCACUUGUAAUUCUCUGGCCUCUGUGGGGAGUUUGUAUCACAGCAAGGUUAGCAGGUGACUCUGCUGUCUGACUGUAAAGACAGAGCCUUGUGUAAGUUAAGCACAACCUGGUCUGUGGUGUGGUUUCGGCUAUAAGGAAGUUGAAACAGCCCUUCUUAGAACUCUACCUGUCACAGAGGUUCUCGUGACUUCCCCUUGGCACUUGGAGCCAGUUCUCCCUUGAACCAAACAUUCUCUUGUAGCACUGCAGCCUCCAGAGGCACCACACUUCCUCAGGAGACUGUGUUGACUGAUGCACUUGAGCCUAACUUGUUUCUUGUCAACCCUUUGCCAUUAUCUGCUUUCUAACUUCCUAGCCUUCCUAGCUCUUCUUUUCCUGCCCAGCACAUGUGUCUUUUUAAAAGCCCUUACUGCAAUGCUGGUGGAGAUCAGAGGAAUAUUCACUAUACCAUCUUUUAUUUUAUCUGUUCCCUUUAAGGAAGAAAAAAAUUCCUCACAUGCUUCAUUUUUAUAUCCCUUUGCUCUUUAAUUUUGGUUUGUUCAGGCAUGCAUUUGGGUUCCUUAACCCUACUAUGUAUCUUAAAGGCUACUUUUCACCUUGAGCUGUGAGUAACUGUCUUCUUUCUAUCAAACCUUUAUUAUUAUUUUUCUUUGCUUUUAGGCCUUUUAUAUGAACUUAGAUGGAAUACUUAGCUACCUAAGCCAUUAGUUCUCUGAAAAUAUGCUUCAUGUAAAAUUGAACAUUCAGAGUUAAGCUUGGUGACAUAUGCCUUUGCUCUUAGCACUCAGGAGGCAGACCAGUGGAUCUCUAAUUCAAGUUCCACCUAGUCUAAAUAUAAGUAGCAAGUUCUAGGCCAGCCAUGUAUACAUAGUAAGACCUUAUCUCAAAAUAAAAUGGGAAAGUCAUAGAAUAAGACAUUUUUAUUAGUCAGGAUCUUGCUUUGUAAUCUUUUAGUAUUAGAUAUUAAAUGGCUGUCAUUUACGGAAGUAAAUGUCAACCUGAGCACCUGUAAAAUGUUCCACACCUGUGUUUCACAUUAGGGCCUCCAGGAGGUGCUGUAGUACCUAGCUUUGGGUUAAUGCUCAGCUUAAUAAAUAGCUGUGUAAUAGAUAGACAGCAGGAUGGGGUCACGGAAGCCUGAGAGUUGUUGGUAAGAAGCAGGGAGAUGCAAGCCCAGCCCUGACUUUUACAGGGCAUUUCCACACUCAUCAGUCUCUCAUCCUGCCUCUAUCUCUGUAGGCCAUUGAAGCCAAGACAGAUGCAAGAUGACACUUCUUUGCAGUAAAUAGUUCUUUGUGGAUUCAGCUUGCAUGGAGGAGGAGAGAACAAAAAAGUACUGGCAUUAUCUUCCCAGGUGCUGCUACAGCAGUGUGUCAUAUUGUAUCCUCAGGCAAGGACCACCUCAUAGUUCAGUCUAGGUCAUCCCAAUGGCUGCCAGACAUCUCAGUAUCCAGCUACGGGUUGGAAUGGAACAGAGGGGAGUGGCCUUACUCUUAGGUUGCACCUGAGACCAUUGUAUCCUUCUUUGAGCUUUGAGAUGGGACUUUUGGAAUAGUGCUUAUUUCUUGUUUUCUUUGCAAUGCACCCAUAAUAUUUGAACCAUUAGUUGUCAAGGGCUUCUGAUUCUUUAUGAAGGUGGGAGUCUUCACUUUCAGACAGUCACUUUAUUAUAGAAGUUCCUCUCCUCCACACAAAGUUCUCUGUGCAGCAAGUUUAUUUUCAACUACUGCAUUUCUAUAAAUAAAAUAAAUUUAAUUGCUGUGUCUGUGUCUGUCUUAUCUAUCUAUCUGUCUAUGUGUGUGUGUAUGCAGGUGCAUAUAUAUGUGUCUAUCUCUCUUCCCAGGUCAGUAUCUACUUUGUAUAUCAAGACAGACUUUCUUUCUCUCGAAUCUCUUGGAUUGAGCUAGUGUAGCUUACUAGCUUGACUUGGGAUUCCUGUCUCUACCUCUUAUGUUGGACUUACAGGGCCUAGCCUUGCAUGGGAACGAGGGAUCUGAACUCCAGUUCUCAUGCUUGCAAGACAAGUGCUUUACUAACUGAGUCAUCUCUCUAGCCCUCAAUUCAUUUGUAUUUAAGACAUUUUUGUAACACCAUGUAGUAGAUCACAAAAUAUCCUAUGGUUAAUCCUAGUAUGAAAGUGCUUAAGCAGAGUGGGAAAAGCACACAUGAUGAGCAAUAUUAGGGGUAAGCCCCAAAAUCAGGUAGGUAACCAUUGUCUCUUGCUGGGUGUGGGAGAGACUAUCACUGUAGGCAGAAAGCUAGGACUGCUAAGCCCAAAUGACCGACCACCUGACUGCCUAGAAACAUAACUUUAAGAACAACAAUAACAAAAAACUGGGUGACAGAACCAGUAGUAGUUUUCAGGGGCCAGUAAGAUGCUUCUACCUUCAUGUUUCUUAUACACACACCAUAGAUUUUACUCUGUAUAAUUCUACAGGUUCUUAGUUUUUAAAUAUAUUUUGGCUCUAUACUUAAAUAGCACCAGUGAUAUAUACUACCAUCUGUACCUUCUCCUUUUCCAUAGGACAUCUUUCUGCAGAGAGGAUCUCUAACCCACACCAGCAGCUCCUUUCGCCCUUGGCCUCCUGCCCUAGUAACAUAAGUCCUACUUCCUGUAUCGCUAGCACUAGUCAUCUCUUCUGAGAGGCCUUGCUUGCUCUCAUCCCUAGCAAGGGAGCCUUGGCUCCUCACAUCUGUCCCAACCAGUUCCAUCAGUCACAGUCCCAACCAGUUCCAUCAGUCACAGUCCCAACUCAUACAUCUUCCAGCAAUAUGCAGCCUCCCCUCCACACACCCUCAUCAGUCCCUAGGUAUAUCCAAGAUCGUUCAUCAGCCCUGUCUACACUACCACUAACCUCUGUCUAGGCUUGAAGCAGGAUGCACAUCCUGUGCAGCAGCCAAGCCUGCUGUGUCCACCUAACUUCAUGCCACCCGUACCCUAUCCAGUCUUCAGACCCAACUUGCCUUCCAUGUCUUGUGUCCUUUGACAGCAGGCCAUUUCUGAUGAGGAACUAACAAAAGGAGUACACAUGCCCAAGUUUCACUAUAAAUACAAAUAAUGAAUUUAGAAUAAAUGCCUGAGCAAUGGCCAGGAAAACAAAAACAAGGCUAGAAAAGAAAUGGUUGAGACAAUCCAGGAUUUGAAAGCCAAAUUCAAUAAGAAGGUAAGAAGGCCCUUUGUGCACAGCAUACAUCUUUUCUACUUAGCAAGGUCCUGCAUAUCUUGGGCCAGGAUCUCACCCAGAAGUUUGACUUUUCAUCCCCAGUACCCUCACCAAUGCCCAAAUAUAUUCUCAAACUCCAGACUUGGACCAGGACUCUCAUAUCCUGUAUACCCAACACUUGUGUCCUUCUGAUUUCAUUCCACAUAAGUUGUAGCUAACCUUUAGAGACAUUGUGGCCUCCACAUCCUGUGUUCUGCUCCAACCUGCAGGGAUAGUUCCUUCUGAGGAUCGUUAGUCUCUCCUUACUCAUCUCAGCCUGGCUUCUAGUACUAUCAACUAGAGCUCUGCCUUUCUGCCUCUCUCUCUCCCUCUCCCUCUCCCUCUGUGAGUGUGUGUGUGUGCCUAUGUGUUCCUAUAAUCUUAAGUUCCCUUUUACCUUUUAUGAGAAUAUUACUUUAUGAAUUGAGGGCCUACCUUGUCUAGAAGAAUUUCAUUCUAAUCAAUUACAUCUGCAAUGAUGCUGUUUGCAAAUAAAGUUACAAGACAAGUUACUGAGAUUUAGGACUUCAACUCACAAAUUUUUUGAGAGUCAUAAUUCAACCCUUAACACAUACAUGGGUGUAUGUAGAGGUAGAAACCAGUUCCUCACUCACGCUGGCCAUUCACUACUGUGCUGUAUAUACCCCAGCUUUGGGGGGGGGGUGCGUAUACAGCGUGUAUUCAUGUUCUUCUCUCAUACAGUAUACCUUGACUCCAGCCUCCCUACCUCCACUCCUUCCAGUGCUCCCCCUCCAUUUCUCAUUUCCUUCAGAUCUACCACUCUUUAGAAAAGAACGGGAAUCCCAGGGAUCUAAACCAAGUUUGGCAUAGCAAGUUACAAUAAGACUAGACACAAAUCCUCAUAUUUGGACUGAAGGAGGCAAGCCAAUAGGAGAAAGGGGGUUUGAAAAUCAGGCGAAAGAGUCUGAGACACCCCCACUCCCACUGUUGGGAAUCCCACAAGAACAUAUAUGCAGAGGACCUGGCUCAGACCUAUACAGGCUCUGUGGUUGUUGCUUCUAUCUCUGAGCCCCUAUGAGCCCUGCUUAGUUGAUU